rnacentral:lncRNA from 7 species
UUUAUAUUUUAUUAUCGGACUUAUGGGUCGAUUUAUUGGUUUUGAAGCGUUUCAAAUUCAAAAACUGAUAGCGGAUGGCAUUGAAGUGGCGAAAGAUAUAGCUUUGAGACAGUGGCAGAGUCAGCUCACAAUUGGAGCCUGGGCACCGUCAUUACUAUGGUAGAUUGUUUUUAACCGCUUGAGUAGGUAGUCAAAUUAAAUUGAAUCAAACGAUAUUGUGUGUCUGUUUGGUUU